rnacentral:rRNA from 1 species
GUGAGGAAUUUUCCGCAAUGGGCGAAAGCCUGACGGAGCAAUGCCGCGUGAAGGAUGAAGGCCUAUGGGUUGUAAACUUCUUUUCUCAGAAAAGAAUUAUGACGGUAUCUGAGGAAUAAGCAUCGGCUAACUCUGUGCCAGCAGCCGCGGUAAGACAGAGGAUGCAAGCGUUAUCCGGAAUGAUUGGGCGUAAAGCGUCUGUAGGUUGUUUAAAAAGUAUUCUGUCAAAGAUUAGGGCUUAACCCUAGAUAGGCAGAAUAAACUUUUAAGCUAGAGUUUGGUAGAGGCAGAGGGAAUUCCCGGUGGAGCGGUGAAACGCGUAGAUAUCGGGAGGAACACCAAAGGCGAAGGCACUCUGCUGGGCCAAUACUAACACUGAGAGACGAAAGCGAGGGGAGCAAAUGGGAUUAGAAACCCGGGUAGUCC